UAUGCAGAUGGGUUAUCUACCUGACGGGU
rnacentral:piRNA from 1 species